AGGACGAACGCUGGCGGCGUGCUUAACACAUGCAAGUCGAACGGUAAGGCCCUUCGGGGUACACGAGUGGCGAACGGGUGAGUAACACGUGGGUGAUCUGCCCUGCACUUCGGGAUAAGCUUGGGAAACUGGGUCUAAUACCGGAUAUGACUACGAAUCGCAUGGUUUGUGGUGGAAAGCUUUUGCGGUGUGGGAUGGGCCCGCGGCCUAUCAGCUUGUUGGUGGGGUGAUGGCCUACCAAGGCGACGACGGGUAGCCGGCCUGAGAGGGUGUCCGGCCACACUGGGACUGAGAUACGGCCCAGACUCCUACGGGAGGCAGCAGUGGGGAAUAUUGCACAAUGGGCGCAAGCCUGAUGCAGCGACGCCGCGUGAGGGAUGACGGCCUUCGGGUUGUAAACCUCUUUCAGUAUCGACGAAGCGCAAGUGACGGUAGGUACAGAAGAAGGACCGGCCAACUACGUGCCAGCAGCCGC
rnacentral:rRNA from 1 species